AGCAGGCAAGGGAAACUUAUUGAAAGGGAGAUGCUGUUUCAUAUGAUUCAUUGGAUGAAAAUCAUCUUCAAUUAAAUAAGUGCCUUAGAAUCAGAAAAAAGAAAGCCAAGACACUGCAACAAAUAAAACAAAAAAUUUCUCAGAAUGUGAAACAAGGGAAAUGUAGGACAACAAAACAAAUAGUCUCUCGGCAAGUGAAACAAGGGACUCUUGAGAAUCG
rnacentral:lncRNA from 1 species